ACUCUUCCUUAUCCAAAUUUAAUUUGAGUAUUAAAUAAUUUUGUUCGUCUUUCGGUCUUGUAUUACGCUAUUCAAGAACCAUUGUCCAUUUGUAUUGCCCACUAACACUCUACUGUUAAUGCCAAUUUAGCAGCAGAGACUUAUCAGCUGAAUGUUCAUUUUCAUUGUUCAACGAAAAAAGAAAGAAAAAGCGAAUUCACAAGUCCUAAGCAGUAUAUUCAGUCCACCAUUUUCUCUCGAAAUUCCUGGUUUUUAGGCGGGAAAUUAAUAAAUGGGCGGCCGGCGCCGCAGCAGCAGCAGCUACAGCAGCUCAGUCGCCACGGUGGUCAGUACCGCUGAUUCUUCUCCCUCUUCCGCCGAGUCCUGCUUCCGCGAGCUUGACGAUGUCUUCU
rnacentral:lncRNA from 1 species